rnacentral:lncRNA from 1 species
CUGACCCUGAGCUAACAUCCAUGCCCAUCUUCCUCUACUUUAUAUGUGGGACGCCUGCCACAGCAUGGCUUGCCAAGCGGUGCCAUGUCCACACUCGGGAUCUGAAUCCGCGAACCCUGGGCCACCCAAGCGGAACGUGUGCACUUAACCGCUGCACCACCGGGCCAGCCCCUUUAGGAACGUUUUAAAAUACCAACAACACUGGAAAUUUUAGGGACAACUAACUAGAGAAAAGUCAACCGACCUGUUCAUUUCUGUACAAACUCAUUCUGGACGCCCACGGUUGUAGCAUCACCAAUGAUCUGCGUGACUUCCAGUCUGUCUUAUCUUGAGAGAUUAGGGGGGACUUGAUUUUUUUUCUUCUAAAGCAUGGUCCUUUGCUUCUCUUGUUUGUAGGUAUUUAGUGCGUUUGCAUCCUGUGUAUGUUAUCUUCUGGGGCACCAGGUACCAGGUGCCAUGUUGUGUGCCAAGAAUAUAAAAUGAGUGAGACUUAUAUCUGCUUUCAAGGUUCUUAUAGUCUAGUGGCAUUCACAUAAGUAGAAAGUUAUAAAUCAGUAUGAACACCAAUGAGGACAAUCACCCAUGGAUGAGAGUGCCUUUGUGGAAGUCCAGGAGGACAGUGGAGAAGAUCCAGUGCAAUAUUAAAGGGAAAAAAAAUCCAGAAUUGGACACAUUAAAGAGGGUAUCAGAAGAAAAUGAAUUCACUAUCUCCAAGAAAUAUCUGCAUCCGCCUGUUGAUCGCAGCACUAUUCACAACAGCCAAGG